GAUGAACGCUGGCGGCGUGCCUAAUACAUGCAAGUCGAGCGGACGGACGAGAAGCUUGCUUCUCUGAUGUUAGCGGCGGACGGGUGAGUAACACGUGGAUAGCCUACCUAUAAGACUGGGAUAACUUCGGGAAACCGGAGCUAAUACCGGAUAAUAUUUUGAACCGCAUGGUUCAAAAGUGAAAGACGGUCUUGCUGUCACUUAUAGAUGGAUCCGCGCUGCAUUAGCUAGUUGGUAAGGUAACGGCUUACCAAGGCAACGAUGCAUAGCCGACCUGAGAGGGUGAUCGGCCACACUGGAACUGAGACACGGUCCAGACUCCUACGGGAGGCAGCAGUAGGGAAUCUUCCGCAAUGGGCGAAAGCCUGACGGAGCAACGCCGCGUGAGUGAUGAAGGUCUUCGGAUCGUAAAACUCUGUUAUUAGGGAAGAACAUAUGUGUAAGUAACUGUGCACAUCUUGACGGUACCUAAUCAGAAAGCCACGGCUAACUACGUG
rnacentral:rRNA from 1 species